rnacentral:RNase_P_RNA from 1 species
AAAGCCGGUCAGACAACCGCCGCCAUGAAAGUGGGGGAGGAAAGUCCGGGCUCCAAAGAGCAGGAUGCUGGCUAACGGCCAGACGCAGCAACUGCCCUGUUGCAAGACAUGGCAGCCAAGGCGAGGAAUAGGGCCACAGAGACGAGCGUAUUGAGUUACGGUGAAACGCGGCGAUGAAGCGGCUCGCUGAGUCUGCGGGUAGGUGGCUGGAGCCGGUCAGCAAUGACCGGCCUAGAGGAAUGGUUGUCCACGACAGAACCCGGCUUAUCGACCGACUUUUCCA